GAUGAACGCUGGCGGCGUGCCUAAUACAUGCAAGUCGAGCGAACAGACGAGGAGCUUGCUCCUCUGACGUUAGCGGCGGACGGGUGAGUAACACGUGGAUAACCUACCUAUAAGACUGGGAUAACUUCGGGAAACCGGAGCUAGUACCGGAUAAUAUAUUGAACCGCAUGGUUCAAUAGUGAAAGACGGUUUUGCUGUCACUUAUAGAUGGAUCCGCGCCGCAUUAGCUAGUUGGUAAGGUAACGGCUUACCAAGGCAACGAUGCGUAGCCGACCUGAGAGGGUGAUCGGCCACACUGGAACUGAGACACGGUCAAGACUCCUACGGGAGGCAGCAGUAGGGAAUCUUCCGCAAUGGGCGAAAGCCUGACGGAGCAACGCCGCGUGAGUGAUGAAGGUCUUCGGAUCGUAAAAAUCUGUUAUUAGGGAAGAACAAAUGUGUAAGUAACUAUGCACGUCUUGACGGUACCUAAUCAGAAAGCCACGGCUAACUACGUG
rnacentral:rRNA from 1 species